GACAGAGGAUGCAAGCGUUAUCCGGAAUGAUUGGGCGUAAAGCGUCUGUAGGUGGCUUUUUAAGUCCGCCGUCAAAUCCCAGGGCUCAACUCUGGACAGGCGGUGGAAACUACCAAGCUGGAGUACGGUAGGGGCAGAGGGAAUUUCCGGUGGAGCGGUGAAAUGCGCAGAGAUCGGAAAGAACACCAACGGCGAAGGCGGCUCUCUGGGACGGUACUGACGCUGAGACGCGAAAGCGUGGGGAGCAAACAGG
rnacentral:rRNA from 1 species